AUUGAACGCUGGCGGAAUGCUUUACACAUGCAAGUCGAACGGCAGCACGGGGCAACCUGGUGGCGAGUGGCGAACGGGUGAGUAAUACAUCGGAACGUGCCCAGUCGUGGGGGAUAACGUAGCGAAAGUUACGCUAAUACCGCAUACGAUCUAUGGAUGAAAGCGGGGGAUCGCAAGACCUCGCGCGAUUGGAGCGGCCGAUGUCAGAUUAGGUAGUUGGUGGGGUAAAGGCCUACCAAGCCGACGAUCUGUAGCUGGUCUGAGAGGACGACCAGCCACACUGGGACUGAGACACGGCCCAGACUCCUACGGGAGGCAGCAGUGGGGAAUUUUGGACAAUGGGCGCAAGCCUGAUCCAGCCAUUCCGCGUGCAGGAUGAAGGCCUU
rnacentral:rRNA from 1 species